UUCAGGCCGCGUACCCCGGGAGGACCUAUAUGGGCGGGGCAUGGGCUCCGGGUCGGGCCGGCGUUAGUGGGCAAUAGCGGCUUUCCGUGCGCCGAACAUCCCGGCGCAGAAAUCUCCGGGUUGAGGCGCGGAGAUCUGGAGAGGCCGAUGGUCCUCCUCACACUCAGAUCUGACCCCGGCGCGGACCAGGUUGAAGAUUCCAUGGUGACGCUCCGUUUCUGGAGCGAACAGGUCUCCGCCCAGCUCUGGGUCCCCCUCGCGCCCAGGCUUUAUCAGCUCUCCCGCCCUGCACGCUGCGGCUUACCUACGUGGUUAAAAGCACGCGCUCUGAGCUGAGACUGAUAGGACUGGUUACCCUCCCCAGCCCCACGAUCUUCAUCUGCAAGUGGUGGUAAUGAUAGUAAUUAUCUUAGGGUUGCUUUGAGUGUUAAACGAGAUAAUGGGACUUGUACAGUUUCUGGACUCAGUUUCUGGCACACGGCAAGUGCUCGGCAAAUGCUACUUAUUCGGUGACCUUGGAAAUGCCAAGAAGUUUGGGGUAAAAUGAGGAUGGUUCCAUCCCUCCACCCAAUAAAAAGUCUAGGACAUGAGACCCCCAUCCCCCAUCUCUGUUGGGAGCUGUGCUGCUAAAUGCAUUCCUGCCCACGACUCUAAUCUGGCCACUGCUACAGAUUCCCAGACUUGGACUCCUGGGCUGACCUUCUUUGCCAGCUGGAGCAGGAGCAUCUGGUGAGAAAAAUGAGGCCCAGCGAGAUUAUGGAACCUGUCCAAAGUCCACUGGUGGCAUUUGAAGCCAAGCCCUUUUGGAUCUUAACUCAGAACUCUGGUUGUUUCUGCAAGGUCCAGUUUCCGUGAUUCUCCCAGGUCUUUCUUCCUAGGUACUUGCACGUUAUUCUGUACUUACUAUCUCUUCCCUUUAGGCAGUGCUCUUAUGGAGAAAGGGGACUCUACCUUAUUUCUCUUUAUAUCCCCUGUAUUUAACACCAAAUAGAUAAUUUGCUGAUGUUGAGUAGAUGUUCACUGAAGGAUGAGACAAUAAUUGUAGUAAUAAUUCUGAGUUCUUAUAUCUGUCCUCCUUUCCUUGUCCUGUCCAUUUGUUUAUGCAGCAACCAAUGAUUUUUUUGUCCUGGGGGGCUUUUCACAUGCUCAGUAGGAUUUGUAAGUGAAAACUGCACUGUAGAAACCAUUCACACUAAACCAGCAUUUCUCCAGCCAUGGUCAUGCUCAUAGGUAUUCUCCAAAAACAGGUUGCAUGAAUAAAUAAGUCUGAGAAAUUCUAGGUUACACACGGUUUAUUUAUUUAUUUAUUUUUAUGUUUUUUUUGACAGUGCCACGUGGAUUGCAGGAUCUUAGUUCCCCUACCAGGGAUCAAACCCCGGGCCCCCUGCAGUGGGAGUGCAGAUUCCUAGCUGCUGGACCACCAGGGAAGUCCCUAGGUUACAUAAGAUUAACCAAAUAUCUUUCCCAUAGGACUUCUCAGGCCUUUACUAGGGUAAUUAAUGCCCAGGGAGUUGGGUAGAAUGCCAGGUAAAGUUAGCACAUUUCUUAACUUCUUUUGACCAGAGGACCUUUUUCUCAGAACGUUAUCAACGUCUAGUGGGACUGGUUCUAUGGAGUGUAGUUGGUGAAAAACUGCACUAAGCCUCAUUCUCUCCUAGAGCCGACUGGCCUGGGGCUUGGGUGUGCAGAUUGGUGUCAUUUAAUUGCCAUCUGUUGUCCCAGGCCUGUAGAGUGUCUGUACCUCUCCUAAAACCUUUAUCAGAGAAUUACUGUGCAGCUCAUUUAUCCACUCAGUAAAGAUUUAUUGAGUUUCUGCUAUGUGCACUGACUGUGGAGAAAACAGGAUUCUUGCCAAUCAAGAAACUGAGGACUCAGAACAGGGCCUGUUUAAUUGGAUGUGGAGAGAGCAGGGCCCUCUGCUAGCUGCCCUGGGAGCUUGAAGGGUGAAGUUUUUGAUUUUCCAUCCAGACUUCUCAGUGUAUAAGGAGGUAUAUGGGGAGAUUGAAGUCAAGGAAAUGAUAAUUUUUUAAAUUUAAAAAUUUUCAAAAAUUAAAAAAAAAUGUUUAGUCCAAACAUCUAUUUGGAGGCAGACUGGAAGAAGUACUUUUCCACUGUAUCACACUGCCUCUGUGCCCAAGUGUCUGAAUCAGAGAAACACAUACACAUAGACAAGUCCAACCUGGGAAGAACUUAUUCUGUGUUGCUGCCUGGUGGUCUUGAGCCUGUUGAGGACCAUCAUAGGUUGGAUAUCUUUCCCACUUCCAUUUUCCCAUCAGUGACCCCAGAUCAGGUUUAUUUUUGCAUAUGUCUGUCUUCUCAUUGCUUCCCUCUUUGAGCAUCCUUGGUGAGGAUGCUUGCGGCCUGACACGGACUGCAGUCAGAGAAGGGCACACUUUAGGAGCCAGAGGGCUCUGGCUGUGCUUUGCCAGCCAGGCAAGCGCUGGUGGGAAGAAGGUGAUGAGAAUAACGCCUUCAGAUGGGAAGGAGUUUGUGGUACUGCGGUUCCUGAAGUUCCAUGUACACACUAAGCAAACAGGAAUGUAAUACAUGUGCUGCAGAUUAGAAGGAAACAGGCCACCCACUCUUGCUUCAGCCUGCUCACCGAGGCACCUGGUGUUUGAUGCCAAGGAACUAACAUCAGCUCCCCAAGAAAAGUGCUGCUCCCUUCUCAGCAAUCCCUCUCUGCUGUCUGAACAAAGUCCACAGGCUCCCAGGUUCUGUCCCCGGCACCAGACUGCAUCUCUCAACUUCUCCUCUGAUCUCCCUCUGUACUCGUUCCUGCUUCCUGAGAAUGUACCCCAUACGUUCCCCAUCCGGGAGUGCUUGCUUUUACACCUUCCUUGCCCUCCACCUCUGCUUGUUUGAAAUCCCAUCACUUUUCCAAGGCCUGUGAAGCAGCCAGGUUGGAUUCAGCUGCAUAUAAGAGAAGUUCUGCUGCAGGGGAUGAACCAAUAGGGAUCAAUGUAUCUCAUGUAACAGGAAGCCCAGGGGCAGGCAGUCUAGGGCUGGUGUGGCAGCUUCAUCCUGAAUUCCUUCCAGAAUCAGGCUCUUUCCAUCUUCCCUACUGUCCCUGCCUUAGUGACAGCUGCUGUACUCUAAGCAUAACCCAAGUUCCUGGAAGAACGAGGCAGAAGUGGUAGAAUCUGUCCUAGAAGGAACCUGCUUUUGUCUCAUUGGCCAGAAAGGAGUCUCCUCGUCACCCCAACUGCAAGGGAGUCAGGGAUGGUCUCUGGCUUUCUAGCCUCUAAGGGCCAGCUAGAAGAGAGCUGAAUGGGUGGUGAAUGAUUUAACCUGUUUGAAUUAUUGCCUCUUCACCGAAGCUUUUAUCAAAGCAUCUUAAACUUCCUUCAUUCUUAUCUAACAAGGGUAAACCUUUUUAGAGCUCUUAUAUAUUACUGUGGGUUAUGUACUUGUCUUGCUUUUUCUUCUUCUUUUUUUUUAAAAAAUAGAUCUUUACUGGAGUAUAAUUACUUCACGAUACUGUGUUAGUUUCUGUUGCACAACAAAGCAAAUCAGCCAUAUGCAUACACAUGUCACCAUAUCCCCUCCCUCUUGAGCCUCCCUCCCAUCCUCCC